AAUUCCCAUGUAGAGCUGGAGCUGCCCUGGGAAAGGUCUUUCUCCUGCACCACUGAGUUCUAGUGCUGCACCUGCUGCCUGCAUCAUUACAUCUGAUAUGCAGUUUUCCUGAAGAGCUCAAAGCAAAGACUGUUCCAGCCCCUACACAAUGUCCUCUGACACGCUUUCAAGAUGUCAGCCCCGGAGCGAUGACUGAAGUGCCCAGACCUGAACACAGCGCUCCAGAGACAGCCAUCCCAGAGGCAUGUAGGGAGCCAGCCCUCCCUUGGCAGUGACACCCUACCUGCACGGGUGAAAUGAAUGCAGUGUUUCAGCUGAAGUGAGCCUGUUUUCCAACUUUUAUGUAUUCAAAGACAGCUGGUAGGAAGCCUCUCUCUUUUUCAUUAAGGGGUAAAAUUGUAACUGAUUUUUUUUAAUGUCUACAAAAGCAUUGGGAAUUGGCAAAUCUGGAGACUGACACUUUCUUUUCACAUAUGGAAAUGUCUGUUCCUCUUCUAUGCUUCUCACUCCUAUCUAGAAACUGUAGUUGGUCAGCAAUGUUGUUCUUUCUAUUGAAACACUCAUCAUUUCUGAGAACGUGGCCCAUCGGGGUGCUAAAUCAGCAUUACU